rnacentral:rRNA from 1 species
GGAUUAGGCAUGCAAGUCGAGCGGAAAGGCCCGCAAGGGCACUCGAGCGGCGUAAGGGACAGUAAUGUGUAGGUACGUACCCCUGGGUCUAGGAUAGCUGCGGGAAACUGCAAUUAAUACUAGAUAAUGUCUCCGGACCAAAGGUGUGAUUCCACCUGGGGAGCGGCCUACAUCCUAUUAGCUAGUUGGCGAGGUAAUGGCUCACCAAGGCGAAGAUGGGUAGCAGGUGUGAGAGCACGACCUGCGUCACUGGGACUGAGACACUGCCCAGACACCUACGGGUGGCUGCAGUCGAGAAUCUUCGGCAAUGGGCGAAAGCCUGACCGAGCGACGCCGCGUGUGGGAUGAAGGCCUUCGGGUUGUAAACCACUGUCGGAGGGGAUGAAGUGUUAGUGGGUACUCCCAUUAACUUGACUGAUCCUCGGAGGAAGGGUGGGCUAAGUUCGUGCCAGCAGCCGCGGUAAUA